CCACGGGCGGCAGCAGUUGGGAAUAUUAGAAAUGGACGAAAGUCUGAUCUAGCAACACCGCGUGUGCGAAGAAGGCCUUCGGGUCGUAAAGCACUUUUUGGAAGGAAUAGGAAGGAAUGUACUUCCAGAAUAAGUCUCGGCUAACUACGUGCCAGCAGCCGCGGUAACACGUAGGAGGCAAACGUUAUCCGGAUUUACUGGGCGUAAAGCGCGUGUAGGUGGUAAUGUAAGUAGGGCGUGAAAGCUCCUGGCUCAACUGGGAGAGGCCGUUCUAAACUACAGAACUAGAGGAUGGUAGAGGGAGGGGGAAUUCCAUGUGUAGCGGUGGAAUGCGCAGAUAUCUGGAGGAACACCGGUGGCGAAGGCGGCCUCCUGGACCAUUCCUGACACUCAGGCGCGAAAGCUAGGGUAGCAAACG
rnacentral:rRNA from 1 species